UUAAUUUUCUUGUUUAGAUAGAGAAGAGGGUUAGAGAGAUUCAGAAAUGGCUUCACCUGGAUAAUGCUACCACUACAGCUUGGAAGGAACUGGGAACAAGUUGUUUGAAGUGGGUUCUUCGUGAAGUAGAUGACAAUAAAUUAUCACCAGAAGAAGUGAGGGAUAUGUUUCCUGUAUACUGGGAGAGAUUUUUACGAGAGACAGGGAGUACAGAUAGAAUUGAUGUGGAGGAAGAUGACAUAACCGAGCUGGGGGCGUGUGGAGUAGAUUCUUGAUAAUUAUUGGGCUGUUAUAUUUUAGUGAUAGUGCUGGCACUAACAAAUAUUGAGAGAUGUUGAUCCUGUGAAAUUUCAAAAUGGACUUUCUUGAUUUCAAUUUCUAGAUUGUCUUUACUUACUAUAUGGAGAGCUGCUCUAUUCACCUCUGCUUCAAGAUUUUGAGCAGUAAAUUUUUUUUUACUGUAACUCAAAACUGAUUAAAGUUAGGAAAAUAUUUUUCCAACUAACUGGUUUAUUUCUUAAAGGAUUUACUUUAAAUUUCAAAUAUAUGUUCCUUAUCAUCAUCCAAAUAAGAUUUGACAAGGUUCAUACCUCUGGCACCAAUUUUUUCAACAUAUGUAAUAAGGUUUUGAAUUUUGAACUUGUUAUAUUAAUGGAUUUUACUUUUAUCUUAUAAAUGAAUUGAUAUCUACAAGAUAUCUACUUAAGUUAAUUGUUCCUGGUCAUUACUAACAUAAUGAGAAGGUUCAUUACUGUCUAUUUUCAUAGUUCAGUCUUUCUUUACUGUGUUCAAUACUUAAUUAGAUGAGCGCACUGUCUCCUCUGACAGCUGUUGUUAAUGUUUCAAGUCAUUGAUUUUUGGAAUGUGAAGAUAAAAAGUUUGUGGUAGGUCUGACCUUAAUGCAGACUGUGACCAGAUAUAAGGGAUGUUAACUUGGGUUGCAACCUGUUAAAGGCCCAUUAUGCCACAGAAAUGCUUUGGUUUUUUAUUAGCUCACCUGUCAGAAAGUGACAGGGUGAGUUUUGUGAUCGCUUUUCGUCCGGCGUCCGUCCGGCGUCCGUCCGGCGUCCGUCUGUAAACUUUUACUUUAAAUGACAUCUCCUCAUAAACCACUAAGCCAAUUUCAUCCAAACUUCACAGGAAUGUUCCUUUGGUGGUCACCUUUAAAAAUUGUUCAAAGAAUUUAAUUCCAUGCAGAACUCUGGUUGCCAUGGCAACCGAAAGAAAAAACUUUAAAUAUCUUCUUUUAAAAAACCAUAAGAGCUAGAGCUUAGAUAUUUGGCAAGAAACAUCUUCUAGUGAGUGUCUACCAAGUUUGUUCAAAUAAAAGCCCUGGGGUCAAAAUUGGCCCCGCCCCGGGGGGGGGGGGGGUCAUUGAUUUUCCCUAUAUGCAUAUAGUAAAAACUUAAAAAAUCUUCUUUUAAAGAACCCAAAGAGCUAGAGCUAAGAUAUUUAGCAUGAAACAUGUUCUAAUGGGUGUCUACCAAGUUUGUUAAAAAAAAAAGCCCUGGGGUCAAAAUUGGCCCCGCCCCGGGGGGUCAUUGAUUUUCCCUAUAUGCAUAUAGUAAAAACUUAAAAAUCUUCUUUUAAAGAACUCAAAGAGCUAUGGCUAAGAUAUUGAGCAUCAAACAUGUUCUAAUAGGUGUCUACCAAGUUUGUUCAAAUAAAAGCCCUGGGGUCAAAAUUGGCCCCGCCCCAGGGGGUCAUUGAUUUUCCCUAUAUGCAUAUAGUAAAAACUUAAAAAAUCUUCUUUUAAAGAACCAAAAGAGUUAGAGCUAAGAUAUUUAGCAUGAAACAUGUUCUAAUAAGUGUCUACCAAGUUUGUUCAAAUAAAAGCCCUGGGGUCAAAAUUGGCCCCGCCCGGGGGGUCAUUGAUUUUCCCUUUAUGCAUAUAGUAAAAACUUAAAAAAUCUUCUUUUAAAGAACUCAAAGAGCUAUGGCUAAGAUAUUUAGCAUCAAACAUGUUCUAAUAGGUGUCUACCAAGUUUGUUCAAAUAAAAGCCCUGGGGUCAAAAUUGGCACCGCCCCGGGGGUCAUUGAUUUUCCUUAUAUGUGUAUAGCAAAAACUUAAAAAAUCUUCUUUGAAAAACCCCAAAUAGCUAGAGUUAAGAUAUUAAGCAUGAAACAUCUUUUAGUGAGUGUCUACAAAGUUUGUUCAAAUAAAAGACCUGGGGUCAAAAUUGGCCCCGCCCCGGGGGUCAUUGAUUUUCUUUAUAUGUGUAUAGCAAAAACUUAAAAUCUUCUUUGAAAAAACCCAAAUAGCUAGAGUUUAGAUAUUAAGCAUGAAACAUCUUCUAGUAAGUGUCUACAAAGUUUGUUCAAAUAAAAGCCCUGGGGUCAAAACUGGCCCGGCCCCAGGGGUGUCGUUGUUUUUACUAUAUGUGUAUAGUAAAAACUUUAAAAAAAAUCUUCUUUUAAAAAGCCCAAUGAGCUAGAGCUUAGAUGUUUAGCAUGAAACAUCUUCUUAUGGGUGUCUACCAAGUUUGUGCAAAUAAAAGCCCUUGGGUUAAAUUGGCCCUGCAACGUUGGGGGGUGGGGGUUGGGUGGGCCUAUAUACAGGUGAGCGACCUCAGGGCCAUCAUGCCCCUCUUGUUUCUCAAAAGCUUUUAUUUUUGGUUUACUAAAAUAGUUUCUAAAAUAUUAUAAAUGGCCAAUUACCUGAACCAUUUUCCUUCUGUUUCCUUUUUGCAAUAAGUACGGUUGUAGUGAUUAAGUAUUUUGUAUGGAAGUCCAAAUACUACUUUGUUUUAGCGCUACUUUUUCAGUUAACAAGCACCAAACAUGCUCUAAAACCAUUAUUUUAACAUUAUAAAAACACAUGCUUGCCCUUUCUAAAGAAGUUAAAGGAACUCUACUGAUGUUCAUAAGCCUAAAAACAUAACAUUUUAAUUUUUCACAUAGAUAAACAUGAGCACUUUAAACAGAAAUAUAAAUAAAAUAUAACUAAGAAAUAUACAAGAAAUACAUUAAAAAUCGUAUGUUUGUGCUUUUCUCAGUCCGAUUUGAGUGAAAGGCGUUAACGCUUUUCACUUUUGGGUCAUUUUUCACUGUUAUAAUAACUAUUCUGGAAAAACGAAGCAAGCUAAUGAUCUGAAAUUUUUCACAUAAGUUAUUAGAAUAGAUCUACAUCAAAUAGAGUAAUAAUCUCAAAAAAUUAUAUUCAGUCCCGUCAUGUCAAAAAAACCUCAGUGGAGUCCCUUUAAAAAGCUAUUCAAUUCUGAGGCAUAAUGUGCCUUUAAGGAUCAAAUAUAUUGUUGCUUUGACAUGAACACCAAUGCUAGAGAUAAGUUAAUUGUCUGUAGUUAUUUUGUCCCUGUUAUUGCAAUACAUUUAUACCAAGAUGUAAUAUAUUCAUACCAAGGUGCAGUCUGAAAACUUGCUGUAACUGACUUAUUUAUUAUCAACGCCUUCUUAGGCUAUCAAGAGAUAGGCAAUAUUAAAAGUGAAUAAACUAUAAAGAAUUUAUUUCAGUUUUUACAUUUUUAAGUGAAUGAAUUAUAAAUAAAUUAUUUCGAUUUUACAUUUUUGUGCUAUUUAUAAGAAUAUUAUUAAAUCAUUUUCAGAAACAAUCUUGACUUUUA